rnacentral:rRNA from 1 species
AUACGUAGGUGGCGAGCGUUGUCCGGAAUUACUGGGUGUAAAGGGAGCGCAGGCGGGGAGACAAGUCAGCUGUGAAAACUAACGGCUUAACCGAUAGAGUGCAGUUGAAACUGUUUUUCUUGAGUGGAGCAGAGGCAGGCGGAAUUCCGAGUGUAGCGGUGAAAUGCGUAGAUAUUCGGAGGAACACCAGUGGCGAAGGCGGCCUGCUGGGCUUUAACUGACGCUGAGGCUCGAAAGUGUGGGGAGCAAACAGGAUUAGAUACCCUGGUAGUCCACACUGUAAACGAUGAUUGCUAGGUGUGGGGGGUCUGACCCCCUCCGUGCCGGAGCUAACGCAAUAAGCAAUCCACCUGGGGAGUACGGCCGCAAGGUUGAA